rnacentral:lncRNA from 1 species
GAGCAUUUGCAUGUAACUCAUGCACAUUCUCCCACAUAUGCACUUUAAACCACCGCUAGAUUACUUAUAAUACCUAAUACAAUGUAAAUGCUGUGUAAAUAAGUUGUUAUAUUGUAUUGUUUAGAGAAUAACAAGAAAAAAAGGUUUGUACUUGUUCAGUGCAAACGCAACCAUUAUAAGCCUUUCAAUCUGCAGUUGGUUGAAUCAGCAGAUGCAGAACCAGUAGAUACAGAGGGUGAACUGUAUUUUCCUGAAGGAGAUUCCAUUGAUUUGCCCACUCAGUGUCUACAGUAGAUAUUCAACAAAUAAUUGAAUAUGAGUAUACUGUAUAUUGCCAGAAUGAGAAGCACCAAUAUACAUUAUUUCAUUUAAUCUUUAUCACAAUUCUGCUGGGUAAGUAUUAUUAUCUCCAUUCUACAGUGGUCUAGACUGCUACAUAUAUACUUUACAUGU